UCAAAUGGUUUAAAAAUAAGUAUAAUGUGCUAACUGAAAUGUUUCGCACUUCUGGUUUUUCUUGGGAUAAUGAAAAGAAUAUGAUUGUUUGUGAAAGAACAAUCUUAUGAAGAUUUUUGUAAGGUACACAAAUACUUUGACUUGUUUAAUAUUUGUUAGAAAUUAUAACAUAUUUUAAAUGACGUAUCUUUUUUUUUUAUUCAAUUCUUGUUUAAUUUCAGCAACACAGAAAUGCUCAAGGAUCAUGGAAUGUUCCUUUUCCAUUUUAUGAUUAACUGUCAGUUAUCUUUGGUGCCGAUCGAGCUACUGGAGUGCAAUCUAAGACUUUUGUUGAAGCUGUUGACAAUCAAGAGAAAGAGACCAUUGAACUAGAUAAGGGUGGUAGUGAUGAAGAUGAUGAAUUUGAUGAUAAUGAGUCCGUCAACCAAUCAAAGCAAUCAACUCCAAGUGAACCUUCUUCAAAGAAAGCCAAAAAAGAAAAGGCUCCAAAUGAACAAGGAAGGAAAAGGAAGAAGCCGGAGGUUGUGGACUUAACUUCUUCUUUUAACAAUAUGUCUUCUAGCUUUUCAAAUCAUAUGAAUGAGAUGAACAACACAUAUCUAUACUCGACCUUCAAACACUCUCAAGUGGUUUUCAAACAGCAAAAGUACUAUUCGUUUAUGAUCUGCAAUCUACCACCACUCUAGGUUUCAACCACCGACCCACUGGCCACCGUUAAUAUGCUGCGUUCAUUAGUUCAUAUGGCUGCAUUAAAAGGCCAUUUUGAUGAUGUCCAACUAUUUUUGGAUCUAGGAGCCUCUGUUAGUGAGACAACUGUCGAAGAUGGAACUACAAUUGAUCUUAUAGUGGGUAAUAGAGAUUUUGAAAAUCCAAGGAGGAAAGAGAUAUCAUUUUAGGGAGUUGUUGCCUAUAUGUAUGAGAUUAGAUUCAGGGAUCAGAGACCCCUUGAUUUCUAUUGCUGCUAAGCUAUGUGCAUGGUGG